rnacentral:rRNA from 1 species
GGACCCGCACAAGCGGUGGAGUAUGUGGUUUAAUUCGAUGCAACGCGAAGAACCUUACCAGGGUUUGACAUCCAUGCGAAUCUCUUGGAAACGGAGAGAGUGCCUUCGGGAACGCAGUGACAGGUGGUGCAUGGCUGUCGUCAGCUCGUGUCGUGAGAUGUUGGUUAAGUCCCGCAACGAGCGCAACCCACGUCUUUAGUUGCCAGCAUUUAGUUGGGCACUCUAGAGAGACUGCCGGUGAUAAACCGGAGGAAGGUGUGGAUGACGUCAAGUCAUCAUGCCCCUUACAUCCUGGGCUACACACGUACUACAAUGCUACGGACAAAGGGCUGCAAGUUCGCGAGGACAAAG